rnacentral:rRNA from 1 species
GACGGAGGAUGCAAGCGUUAUCCGGAAUGAUUGGGCGUAAAGCGUCCGCAGGUGGCAGUUCAAGUCUGCUGUCAAAGACCGGGGCUUAACUUCGGAAAGGCAGUGGAAACUGAACAGCUAGAGUAUGGUAGGGGCAGAGGGAAUUCCUGGUGUAGCGGUGAAAUGCGUAGAGAUCAGGAAGAACACCAACGGCGAAGGCAGCUCGCUAGGACGGUACUGACGCUGAGACGCGAAAGCGUGGGGAGCGAACAGG